CAAAUUAUUUCCUGGAAGCAAAUAAAGGGGACUGGGUAGUGAUGGCUGUCCCUGAACCAAAAGGUGCAAAGACCAGGCUGUCAAGACAGUGGCCACUAAGGACAAAAUUCACCCACUUCAUUCAUUCGCCACUCAACAAGUAUGUUUUGAGCAUCUCUUUAGAGUCAGAUACUUGAGAUGUAACAGUGACCAACACAGACACGGCCCCUGUGCUUGGAGUGUUUAUAUAUAAUAUGAGAGACAGACAAGUAACUCAAAUAUAGUACAACAUAACUAGUGCUAUUCAGGGUGUGCACCAUACACUAGCAGGGCACACAUCAGGGGCACAUAAACUGGACAUGGGGAAAGGAGUAAAGCAGGGAAAGCUCUGUGACAUCAUAGGAGUAGGGGUGGGGGGUCCAGGAUUCCUGAGAACAGGAACAGCUUAUGUACAGUUCCUGAAACAAGAGUAUUAUUGUACUCCUCAGUACCACUGCUGGAAUGUGGAGCAUCAAAGCGCAGUUGAGGCAAGAGAGCACAUCAACCUGUGGGUUGAAGCCAGGUGUCAGCUAUGUGUUCUAGCAAAGGGCCAGAUGGUAAACAUUGUAGGCUCCACGGUUCACGUGGUUCGAUGCAUCUACUCAGCUCUCCCCUUGUGGCAGAAAAGCAGCAUAGGCAGAUUUGGAGCCAAACAGAGGAAACUAAGGAAACCUUGUCUGCUGAGAUUGGCUUCCCUAGAGAAAGCGCUGAAGCAGAGGACAUCAGAUGUCAGGCGGUGGCAGGAUAGAGAAUAAAGCACAGCAAGGAGCAAGAGUGAUGUGGUGAGACGAAGUUUCACCAUAUUGACCAGGCUGGUCUCAAAUUCUUGGACUCAAGUGAUCUGCCUGCCUCAGCCUCCCACAUCAUUGGAAUUACAGGCAUGAGCCACCACACCUGGCCAUUGUAUAAAUAUUUAUAACUCACCUUAGACCAUAAUAGCUAAAAAUUACUUUUAUUCUGUCAGUGUGUUGCUCAGAACCCUUUAGGAUUCCUCAACAACCAACAAGACAAAGUUCAAAAUCAGCCUAUCAUUCGUGGCCCAUUAUGAUCUGGCAAUGCCCACCUUUUGGUCCUACCUCCUCCACAUUCAUCCUUCCCUCCAUGAUAACACACCUCUCUCCUGCUUGCUUCUGCUGAUACUGUUCUUCACUCCCUUGGGACACCUUCUCUCAUCCGUUUAUUCAACUGCUACCCACUCUUCAAAGUCUGAUCAAUCCCCACUUCUCCAUCAAGGACUCUCCAAAUCAUAUCAUGCAAAAAUGAACAUCCCUGCCCUGUCCUCCUGGAGAUCUUACUGGUACCAUUAGUCAUUCGGCAUUUAGCACACCCUGACAUUCAUUCAUUCAUCAUUCAUUUAUUUAUUCAAUAGAUACUUAUCAGAUCACUAUCACAUAGUAUUAAUGUUUUCUUCCCAUACUUGUACCUUAUCUAUUUAAUUAUGUUAUAAACUCUUUGGAGGAGAACACUAAGAUUUUAGACUUACCUGAAUAUACACAUUCAUAUAUAUGUUACAUUACUGAUCAAAGAGAAUGUGGUCUGUUUCAUGCCCCCGUGUUCUUAUACAUAUUGUUUCAUUUGCCUAGAACGUCCUCUCUCCAGCUCUUAUGGUUCCCAUCUGCCAGGAAAAUUCUUAUUCAUCUUUAAAUAAACAAGUGAGUCUGAUCUCUCCCUCCUGUGGG
rnacentral:lncRNA from 13 species